CUUUGGCACUUCCCACAGUGGGCAUUGUGACAUAUCACUGGGUCUUGUACCCAGGUGGUGUGAAUCUUCUCUCCAGCCUGGCUCUUUCACAGGGGGCAUUGUGUCAUAUUGCUGGGCCCCACACAUAGGUUAUGUGAGUCUCCUGCCUGUGCCCUGCCCAUGUAGGCCAUUGUGACAUAUUGCUGGGUCCAACACCCAGGUGAUGUAACUCUACUGCCUCGGUCCUGCCUACAGAGGACAUUGUGAUAUAACCCUGCACCCAUCACACAGGGAUAUUGUGAAAUGUCACUAGGCCUAAUACUAAGGUGACAUUACUCUUUUGUCAUGGCACUGCCCUCAGAAGGUAUGGUGAUAUAUUGCUGGGCCCAGAACAAAUGUGAUUAUGAGUCUCCUGCCUGGACCCUGC
rnacentral:lncRNA from 1 species